rnacentral:rRNA from 1 species
CCUACGGGUGGCAGCAGUGGGGAAUAUUGCACAAUGGGGGAAACCCUGAUGCAGCGACGCCGCGUGAGUGAAGAAGUAAUUCGUUACGUAAAGCUCUAUCAGCAGGGAAGAACUACUGACCUUACGGUCAGCAGACGGUACCUGAGUAAGAAGCCCCGGCUAACUACGUGCCAGCAGCCGCGGUAAUACGUAGGGGGCAAGCGUUAUCCGGAUGUACUGGGUGUAAAGGGAGCGUAGACGGUGCGGCAAGUCUGGAGUGAAAUGCCGCAGCUUAACUGCGGAACUGCGUUGGAAACUGGCGAACUAGAGUGCGGGAGGGGUAAGCGGAAUUCCUAGUGUAGCGGUGAAAUGCGUAGAUAUUAGGAGGAACACCGGUGGCGAAGGCGGCUUACUGGACCGUAACUGACGUUGAGGCUCGAAAGCGUGGGGAGCAAACAGGAUUAGAUACCCGGGUAGUC